UUUCCGAAGGUGAACCUGUGGAAGGAUCAUUGUCGUGACCCUGACAAAAAUAGACCGCGCACACGUCAUCCAAUCCGCCAGUGACGGCACCAUCUGUCGCUCGGCCAAGUCCUCAACCGCCUCCCCUCCUUGGAGUGGGAGCUCGGGGUAAAAGAACCCACGGCGCUGAAGGUGUCAAGGAACACUGUGCCUAACCCAGGGGCAUGGCUUGCUUGCUUGUCGUCCCCCAUGUUGCAAAGCUAUUUAAUCCACACGACUCUCAGCAACGGAUAUCUCAGCUCUC
rnacentral:misc_RNA from 1 species